AAUCGAGGCCCCGUAAUUGGAAUGAGUACACUUUAAAUCCUUUAACGAGGAUCAAUUGGAGGGCAAGUCUGGUGCCAGCAGCCGCGGUAAUUCCAGCUCCAAUAGCGUAUAUUAAAGUUGUUGCAGUUAAAAAGCUCGUAGUUGGAUCUCAGGGUUUGGAUGGAUGGUUCGCUUUCGGGCGCUACUAUCUGUCUGACCUACUCUAGUUGUGGAUGCCUUGGGUGCUCUUAAUUGAGUGCUUUUGGUGCCCGACGCAAUUACUUUGAAAAAGUUAGAGUGCUCAAAGCAGGCGUAUUGCCUGAAUAGUGUUGCAUGGAAUAAUGAAAUAGGAGUUUACUUCUAUUUUGUUGGUUUUCGGAGGUGAACUAAUGAUUAACAGGGACAGACGGGGGCAUUUGUAUGGAGGGGUUAGAGGUGAAAUCCUUGGAUCCUCUCCAGACAAACUACUGCGAAAGCAUUUGCCAGGAAUGUUUUCACUAAUCAAGAACGAAAGUCAGAGGUUCGAAGACGAUCAGAUACCGUCCUAGUUCUGACCAUAAAUGAUGCCAUCUAACAAUCCACGAAGUUUGCUUGUACGAACUCGUGGGCGGUCCCCGGGAAACCAAAGAUUUUGGGUUCCGGGGGAAGUAUGGUUGCAAAGCUGAAACUUAAAGGAAUUGACGGAAGGGCACCACCAGGAGUGGAGCCUGCGGCUUAAUUUGACCCAACACGGGAAACCUCACCCGGCCCGGACACUUUUAGGAUUGACAGAUUGAAGGCUCUUUCUUGAUCAAGUGGUUGGUGGUGCAUGGCCGUUCUUAGUUGGUGGAGCGAUUUGUCUGGUUAAUUCCGAUAACGAACGAGACUCUACUCUGCUAAAUAGAACGUUGAUAUAUAAAAGUCAGUGCUGACUUCUUAGAGAGACUAACGGCGUUUAGCCGUGUGAGAAAGAGCAAUAACAGGUCUGUGAUGCCCUUAGAUGUCCGGGGCCGCACGCGCGCUAUACUGACUGCGGCAACUAGUAUGCUCCUGGUUUGAAAAAACUGGGUAACCUGGUUGAAUUGCAGGCGUGACAGGGAUCAGAGUUUGCAAUUAUCCUCUGUGAACGAGGAAUUCCCAGUAAGCGCAAGUCAUUAGCUUGUGCUGAUUACGUCCCUGCCCUUUGUACACACCGCCCGUCGCUACUACCGAUUGAAUGGUUUAGUGAGGUCUUCGGAUUGGUGCUGAUGGAGUGGUUCUCUGCUCUGUUAGUGCCGAGAAGAUGAUCAAACUUGAUCAUUUAGAGGAAGUAAAAGUCGUAACAAGGU
rnacentral:rRNA from 1 species